GUCUCCGGGAUCCACUCGAGCUCCACGGCCGCCAUCUUCCCUCGCUCCUCCUCCGCCUCCUCCCUCAGGCCUCCGCCUCCCUCCGUAGCGAACCCGUGUGAGGCUCCGGAGGCUUCCGAGGGGCGGCGACCACGCGGGCGAGCGGGCGGGCGUGCGCGCGCCUCUCGGACCCGGCUGCCGGGCCUCUGCGUGCGCGCGCGGCCUGAGGGCAGAUGGUGCUGGCGGUAGCGGCGGUAGCGGCGGCCACGGAAGAUCCGGACGAACGCAGAGCACGACCGUACCGAGAGCCUCACAUUCCCAACAGGAGAACGAGCCCAGUUCCGUCCAGGCUCUCAGCUCUGCAUGGGCGGGGCUGCGUGUGUGGCGUCAUGACGUCAACGCGCGACGCGCCGACGCGCCCGGGAAGGAAUGCGGCAGGCGGAAAACUUGCGGAGAAAAGAGCGCGGAGCGUCUGA
ensembl:antisense Appbp2os amyloid beta precursor protein (cytoplasmic tail) binding protein 2, opposite strand